ensembl:lncRNA
AACGGUAUUUGCCCUGGAAAAUGUGUAUCAGUUCUUUCAAGAUGAAAAUUCAUUAAGGCGAAUGCCGUUCUGAUGACAAUACCUUAUUCAAACAUCCAGAGACAAACAUUCUCAGCGUCAAGCAGUGGGACCCAAUCAUCCUAUAUUAAAAAUACCGCGGCAGAGAUGUGGCUGAGCUUGUCGGUGUCUACCCAGAACCCAUCGCCUCUGUGUUGUUUAUCCACUGCCAAAGAGCCUAUGUUACACAUCAUCUUUAAUCAAUUUACUGUAGUUCUUUUAAACAUUCUGGAAAAUUUAGUUUGAACCUCAAACUUAAUUUGGCAUUUAGACUUAGAGGCAAUAAACAAACAUUUAUUGAUCAUCUACUAUCUGCUUCUGCUCUGUUAGCAGCUGUGGGCAUUCGUCCAAGAAGACCCAAUCCUUGAUUUCAGGGAACACAAAAUCAAAUUGGAGACUAGAGACACAUGAGGGCGUAAUUGAGAAGAUAAGAGAAUAUAUGAUAGAUAAUGAAUGAGCAGCAAUUCAGAGUCGUGAAAACACUCUUUUUUUUUGUUUUUUUGGUGAGGAAGCUUGGCCCUGAGCUAGCAUCUAUUGCCAAUCUUCCUCUUUUUUUUUUUUCUCCCCAAAGCCCCAGUGCAUAGUUGUAUAUCCUAGUUAUAAGUCCUUCUAAUUCUUAUACCUGGGAUGCCACCACAGCAUGGCUUGAUGAGCGGCGCUAGGUCCACACCCAGGAUCCGAACCGGUGAACCCUGGGCCACUGAAGCAGAGUGAACUGAUCUGAAGGUUGACGCCCAUCAGUCUACAUGAGACUUUAUUCCACAGAUAACAGACAACCGUGGAGGAUUUUCAGCGUAGUAAUUGUGCAGUGUCAAGAUGACCCUGAUAACAAGAGCAGUGACGCUUUAUUGACUGGACCAAGUGCCUUGUGUGUGUCAACUUGUUCAACUCUCAUCAUCUAAAGAUCGGGUAAUAUUAGCUCCAUCUGUAUUGACUGAAGCUCUAAGAGGCUAAGGAAAUUACUCAAAUCACACAGUUAUCAAACGGCUUAGCCAAGACUUGAACCCUGGUGUGUUUUAAUUCAAUUUCUGUACUUCCCUCCCUCGGGGAUUCACUGGUGGUGACAAGAAGCAUGGACAGGACAACACUUGGACCAUUUGCAGCCCUUACGCUUGGGUGUCUGAAAUAUGAAAAUGCAGAUUUGCCAAUCUGUGACUCAAGCAGAGACUUAGUGAUGAAAAGACAUACACUUCCUCUCACCAUGUGUUUUCAACACUGCCUCUCCCGAGCCUGGGACCCCUCCAAGGAUGAAUUGCUUGGAAUAUGAGGACAAAAUGGAGAAGUGUUCCGUCCAUUACUGUAAGAUCAAGUCUGACUUCAUCUCCGUCUUCAAUUAAUCAUUCUCAAUCAGAUAACUCCAAGAGGUGUCAGGUUUUGCUCGAUGAACUCAAAAGGAAAAUCUGUUUCCUAUCCUCUUCAGACUUACUUAUCUGAAUAUUUGCGUUUAGUAUUUGACCAAUGCUAAUGUCUACUGUUGGGUGUCGUGAUAGUAAACCCACAAAUUCUUUCCAUCUUUAGACAAAUGUUUCACUGUGUAUUAAUUUUGAUUCAUCUCAAUAAUGGUGAUAAUAUAACAUUCAUUUGAGGUUUCGGUAGCUAGUACUUGCAUCUUGACACAAAUUGCUUUAUAAUUCAGUCUUUAUUUUCUGGUUGCCUGAAAUAGUAUCCUCAGUAGCUAAGGCCUUUCGUCAAAAAACUGCUCCCAAAUAUUGUGUUCUAAUGCCGCUUUAUUUGCUGUGGAGCAGAGUUUUAGUGAACUCAUGGAAGGUUUGAAAUCCAACGUCCAUCCACUGCUGAACCACCGGGAGCAAUAAAUGGCCUUUUCCUGUUGGUGAUUGAAUAACAGAGUGCAGCUGAGGCAUCUCGUAAUCACCAGGACCAAAUAUGCUACUGAAUGAAUUCUCCUACUGUGGGAGAAAUCUUUCUAACACACAGGAGGAAAGGAGGAAAGAAACCAGCCUCUCAAAGCUGUGGGCUGUGGCAGGACCGUGAUGGUUAUCUUCCUGGGGGAUCAUCAACAUCCCCUAAAGGUGGAAUGACUGGCUCAGCUGAAUGGGCCAGGGAACACGAAUCUGAAAUCAAACGUUGGUUGAAGGGCACAGUCAAUGAGGAAAGGCAGCGGAUGUAUGUGGACAAUCACGUGUGCCGGGGUGUAAGUUUGGUUCAUUUGGAAUUGAGAGCAGCUGAAUCUCCUUGUUGCUCAGUGAUCAACACAUCUUCUGGGAAAACCAUCCCGUUUCAGACAACUUCCAGCCUGAGGAUUCGGCAGGACUCUCUCCCUCUCACAUAAUUUCACUUCCUUAGCGUGUCACUGGAUGAGCAGCGUCAGCCUCCUGUGGAGCUCAUUAGAAAUGCGGGCUCUCAGGCUCCAUUGCAGACCUGUGGCAUCAGAAUCUGCUUUUUAGUAGGAUUCCAAGCUGCUGAGUCGCGUGGACAGCCUGGCCUUCCUUGCAACAAGUCCACACCCUUGCUGUCAUCAGCUGUGGAUUCUCCACUCUUAUUCUCAUCUUCCCAGGUGCUGGGCUGGAUGGCAUCCAGACGUCAGCCUAUGUCACCUCCAUAAGCAUCCUGUGAAGGAGAUGUUAUUUUCUCCAUUUAAACAGAUGAGACAACUGAAGCCCAAGGAGGCGAAGGGACUUGCCUGAGGUCAUCGUUCGUAAAUUACAAACCAGUGAUUCACACCCGGGCCUCCAGGUCCCAGCCCGCUCACCUGGGCUCAGGCCUCGGGCCCAACGUCGUGGCCGCGGGCAGAGGCUGCAGAGUCAGGAAGCAAACCAGUGGCUCUGAGAGGCUAGAAGGAGACCUUAGAACACGGCUUCCGUGGGAACUCAGUCAUGAGCAAACACACCUUAAUAAGUGAGAGCAAGUCCUAAAGACCUGACGCUCGCAUUGUGGCCCCCUCAGAGGACCCGCGAUGUCAUCCUGCUUUCCCAUCACCUGACCACAGGUUGGCCCCACACAGGCACUGUCAUUAUUUCCUGAGACACAUAAAUAUCCUUUUCAAAAACAUUAAUAGGCAUAAGGUUUUGCGUAUUGAUGUGUUUUUAAACUUCCUACUAUGUAGAAACCAAAAGAAGGAAACAAAAAAAUAAUUCCACUGAUAUUAAAAAAAGAAAUAUAUGUAUAUGGUUAAAAUAUCCAAAAUGUUGUUUCUUUUAUUUCUUCC